CACAGCUUCAAAAACCACUUUAGCGCAAAAUGUUGUCUGGCAGAACGAAGACACCUCACUCUAAGAAAAUAUAUCUGAAACAAACCAUAGCAUAUUUCUCUUUGGAACAAAAUAUUUUCUGAUAUGGGGUACAGGGAGAAGACAAGAUGGAAAAGCUCACAGGUCUGAACAAAGACAGAGAGAUAGCUUACCAGUUGCCAUCAUGGUCAGAACAGACUCAACUGCUGAUUAAAAAUAGAGUGGAAUGGUUCAGCUGUGUGCAUUUUCCACCUGGCUGCAGUGAGACUGAAUGAAAGAUACCAAAUGUUGUUCUCACUGAGAAAAAUUUGCACGAGGGAGUGCUCACACUGAAUUGAGUGAGGC